CCUACGGGAGGCAGCAGUGAGGAAUAUUGGUCAAUGGCCGUAAGGCUGAACCAGCCAAGUCGCGUGAAGGAAGAAGGAUCUAUGGUUUGUAAACUUCUUUUAUAGGGGACUAAAGGUAUCCACGUGUGGAUAUUUGCAUGUACCCUAUGAAUAAGCAUCGGCUAACUCCGUGCCAGCAGCCGCGGUAAUACGGAGGAUGCGAGCGUUAUCCGGAUUUAUUGGGUUUAACGGGUGCGUAGGUUGUUUUUUAAGUCAGCGGUGAAAGUUUGUGGCUCAACCAUAAAAUUGCCGUUGAAACUGGAAGACUUGAGGGUGUUUGAGGUAGGCGGAAUGCGUGGUGUAGCGGUGAAAUGCAUAGAUAUCACGCAGAACUGCGAUUGCGAAGGCAGCUUACUAAACUGCCACUGACAUUGAUGCUCGAAAGUGUGGGUAUCAAACAGGAUUAGAUACCCUUGUAGUC
rnacentral:rRNA from 1 species